CCUCCUGAAAGGAAUAUGGAUGGGAAGAAGAGAGCAGACACAUAGGCUCCUGGUGGAAGGGGCCUGCCCUGGAACUGAUCCUAGAGCCAGGAGAGAAGCUUCACCCUCUGGCCUCAGGAGGCUCCUGACUUGAGCCCUGAAGGCCCAGAGCCUGCACCUACAGUCCAGAUGGUGCUGACUUUUCUGCCUAAAGCAAGAGCUCUCAGCUGAGGAGGAAAACACUCACCAGGUGACUCCUGAAAUACUCCUGCCCUCUUUUGCCUAGAUCUGUGGCUGACACGUAGGAGGCGAUGGACCUGCAUUUGUUGAACGAAUGAAUGAACACCAAGGAAACAGAAACCCGGAGUGCCGGUAGGAGGAUUGUGACUCGUCCAAGGUCACUCUGGGGUUGAACCUCGAACCCGAGACUCCCAACUCUAGCGGCCUGGCCUUAGGUGCGACUAACAGUCCCUCCGGCAUCAUCAGUCUCGGCCCCGCCAAGCAGGCGAGGAGGAUCGUGGCCGCCGGGGGCAUGGCCGCGGCUCGUCCCAGGCCCGAUGCCACCUAUUCGGCAGGCCCAGCCACUCACUCACCUCGGCGGCUCCACUACCGGCGCUGUGCCGCCGCCGCCGCCGCCGCCGCCGCCGCCGCUGCCGCGGUCCACGGUGACAGCUCCCAGUGCGCUGGCACUUCCGGGGUCAAACGGCGAUUCCGCAGGCGCAGACAGGAAGCCCAGACCGGCCCCGGCCCCGCCCCCGGUGCUAACAGCCGCCGGGAAGCCGGGCCCGUGGCCACGCCCCCAGCCUAAAGAGUUCGCCCCCACCAGGAACAGGCUGGACGGAAUUUCUAGAACCCGCAAGACUAGUGAGCGGUGAUGGGAUUAGAAUGGUGGUUACCUCUGGGGCUGGUGACUGGAAGUGGCCACAAGUGAGACUGGGACAUUGCAUGUCUUCAUCUUUGGGUAGCUACAUAGAUGUGUUCAACUUGGAAAAGUCAUCAAAUUGUACACCUAUGAGUUGUGCACAUUGGUGUGUGUAUGCAAUACAAAUAGGUUUUGUUUUUGUUUUUUGUCUGUUUUGAAUCAAGAAGGCUGUGCUAUAGCUAUCUUUUUUUUUUU